rnacentral:rRNA from 1 species
AUGAGAUGCUGCUUUUCUUUGACCAUUCAUUCAGUUACUUCAAGCUCGUCAGUUGCUUCAACGACGGGAGGACAGGGCGGCGACGUGUUCGAGGACUGCGACUGGCGGCAGAGAUUGGUUCAUGGACCGGCUCCCGCCGGCGUAGGAGAACGCUGGCCGGUGAUGGAUCUUGAGCACCGCCUCCGGUUCCCCGUGCUCAGGCGACCCUGGUUACCACCGGCACGCGUGUGUGGGCGGUCCUCCGAGGUGUUUCAUGAAUGCACCGAUGAAGCAUCAUGUGAACUGAAGGUUUUCUUGCCCACCAUCUAUUUAUGA